rnacentral:rRNA from 1 species
GGAAGGAUCAUUAUUGAAUAAACUUGAGCAGGCUGUUGCUGGUCCCCCCAGGGGGAUAUUGUGCACGCUUGUCAUCUUUAUUUCUCCCACUGUGCACAUAUUGUAGAUCCUGGAGGUUAUUAUUGAUAGAUUGAGGACUGCUGUAAAGCUUUUCUUGCUUCUCCAGGUCUAUGUUAUUUUUUCACAAUCUCUGAACAUGUCUAGAAUGUUGAAUUGGGUCUUUGUACCUAUAUAAAGUUUAAAUAUACAACUUUCAGCAACGGAUCUCUUGGCUCUCGCAUCGAUGAAGAACGCAGCGAAAUGCGAUAAGUAAUGUGAAUUGCAGAAUUCAGUGAAUCAUCGAAUCUUUGAACGCAUCUUGCGCUCCUUGGUAUUCCGAGGAGCAUGCCUGUUUGAGUGUCAUUAAGUUCUCAACUACACCAAUUCUUAUCAUUGGUUGUGGCUUGGAUAGUGGGGGUGUUAUUUUUGCAGGCUUUUAAUUUAGUCUGCUCCCCUGAAAUGUAUUAGUGGUAUCUGAGCAGAACUACUACAGGUGUGAUAAUUAUCUAUGCCUUGGUGGACUUGCAUAAACAGAUUAAAUUGCUUCUAACAAGUGAAAACCUUUAAAAGUUUCACCUUUGACAAAUUUGACCUCAAAUCAGG